rnacentral:rRNA from 1 species
UAGCCGGCCUGAGAGGGUGUACGGCCACACUGGGACUGAGACACGGCCCAGACUCCUACGGGAGGCAGCAGCUAAGAAUCUUCCGCAAUGGGCGAAAGCCUGACGGAGCGAUGCCGCGUGAUCGAAGAAGGUCGAGAGAUUGUAAAGAUCUUUUCUCCAUGAGGAAUAAGCGGGGGAGGGAAUGCCCUCGUGAUGACGUUAGUGGAGGAAUAAGCCCCGGCUAAUUACGUGCCAGCAGCCGCGGUAACACGUAAGGGGCGAGCGUUGUUCGGAAUUAUUGGGCGUAAAGGGCACGCAGGCGGUUAUGCAAGUCUGAUGUGAAAUCUCCGGGCUCAACUCGGAAUCCGCGUUGGAAACUGCAUGACUAGAGUAUUAGAGGGGGAGUCGGAAUUCCUAGUGUAGGGGUGAAAUCUGUUGAUAUUAGGAAGAACACCGGUGGCGAAGGCGGACUCCUGGCUGGAUACUGACGCUGAGGUGCGAAAGCAUAGGGAGCAAACAGGAUUAGAUACCCUGGUAGUCUAUGCUGUAAACGAUGUGCACUUGGUGUUGGGCCGAUUAGGCUCAGUGCCGUAGCUAACGCGAUAAGUGCAC